rnacentral:rRNA from 1 species
AACGCGAAGAACCUUACCUGGGCUUGAACCGCUACGGACCAAGGGUAGAAAUAUCCUCUUCCCGCAAGGGACCGUAGUAGAGGUGCUGCAUGGCUGUCGUCAGCUCGUGCCGUGAGGUGUUGGGUUAAGUCCCGCAACGAGCGCAACCCUUACUCCUAGUUGCUACCCGCAAGGGAGAACUCUAGGAGGACUGCUCCGGAUAACGGAGAGGAAGGUGGGGAUGACGUCAAGUCAGCACGGCCUUUAUGUCCAGGGCUACACACGUGUUACAAUGCAUGGUACAGACUGUUGCGAACCCGCGAGGGGGAGCUAAUCGGACAAAGCCAUGCUCAGUUCGGAUUGCAGUCUGCAACUCGGCUGCAUGAAGCUGGAAUCGCUAGUAAUGCCGUAUCAGAUCGACGGCGUGAAUACGUUCCCGGGCCUUGUA